AUUUGUAUGCCGGAGCUUCGUACUUGGGAGCGUAUUCGGCUGACCUGUAAGAAUCGGCGGCAGCGACAGCGAAAAGGGCGGCGAGGAUCAAGAACUAAUAAAAUAUGGAACAUUUGACGCCAUGUAAAAGAUAUAGGUCUACAACUCUCCAUGACGUCCAUGCCCAUCUCCACAUCCAACUCUUUCAUGUCGUCCAUGUGUUGCUUUCAUUGCCCGUUUUACUCACUACCUGGUGCGAAACAAAAUAAUGGGUCCUCAGGUCACCUCAGCGCAUGCACUUUCAUAGGCACUUUCAUGUCGAAUCGAUGACCACGAAGCGCUUCACGCUCAAAGCCAGCACAUUUUUCUGAAUUGUGUAUCCACAUUCUGAAUGCAGUUUUGGUCCAUUGUCGUCGUGUUUCCGUGAACUAAGUAAUCGAUUUUUUUAACUUUUGGGGUAUCUAUGUAGUUAUCGAUUUCUAUCUGCGUAUUGAACUUAUGGUGAUCCAAUCCAUCCCAAUCGGUUCCGGCCAUUCAAUUUCCGCAAGACAGAAAAAUUCCUUUUUAUUUUAAAACAGAAC
rnacentral:lncRNA from 1 species